AGCGAACGCUGGCGGCAGGCCUAACACAUGCAAGUCGAACGGAUCCUUCGGGAUUAGUGGCGGACGGGUGAGUAACACGUGGGAACGUGCCCUUUGGUUCGGAACAACUCAGGGAAACUUGAGCUAAUACCGGAUGUGCCCUUCGGGGGAAAGAUUUAUCGCCAUUGGAGCGGCCCGCGUCUGAUUAGCUAGUUUGUGAGGUAACGGCCCACCAAGGCGACGAUCAGUAGCUGGUCUGAGAGGAUGAUCAGCCACACUGGGACUGAGACACGGCCCAGACUCCUACGGGAGGCAGCAGUGGGGAAUCUUGCGCAAUGGGCGAAAGCCUGACGCAGCCAUGCCGCGUGAAUGAUGAAGGUCUUAGGAUUGUAAAAUUCUUUCAGCGGGGACGAUAAUGACGGUACCCGCAGAAGAAGCUCCGGCUAACUUCGUG
rnacentral:rRNA from 1 species